rnacentral:tRNA from 1 species
GGGGGGUUAGCUCAGCUGGGAGAGCGCCUGCUUUGCACGCAGGAGGUCAGCGGUUCGAUCCCGCUAGUCUCCACCA